UACGUAGGUGGCAAGCGUUAUCCGGAAUUAUUGGGCGUAAAGGGUGCGUAGGCGGCAUGAUAAGUUAUUGGUGGGAAAUCGAGGCUCAACCUCGUGGAAACUAAUAAUACUGUUUUGCUUGAGUACAGGAGAGGUUAACGGAACUCCAUGUGGAGCGGUAAAAUGUGUAGAUAUAUGGAAGAACAUCAAUAACGGCGAAGGCAGUUAACUAUUCUGUUACUGACGUUGAGGCACGAAAGCGUGGGGAGCAAAACGG
rnacentral:rRNA from 1 species